GGCGGCGUGCCUAACACAUGCAAGUCGAACGAGAAAGGGACUUCGGUCCCGAGUACAGUGGCGCACGGGUGAGUAACACGUGACUAACCUACCCUGGAGUGGGGAAUAACUGAGGGAAACCUUAGCUAAUACCGCAUAAUACCUACGGGUCAAAGGAGCAAUUCGCUUCAGGAGGGGGUCGCGGCCGAUUAGUUAGUUGGCGGGGUAAUGGCCCACCAAGACAAUGAUCGGUAUCCGGCCUGAGAGGGCGCACGGACACACUGGAACUGAAACACGGUCCAGACUCCUACGGGAGGCAGCAGUGGGGAAUUUUGCGCAAUGGGGGGAAACCCUGACGCAGCAACGCCGCGUGGAGGAUGAAAUCCCUUGGGAUGUAAACUCCUUUCGAUCGGGACGAUUAUGACGGUACCGGAAGAAGAAGCCCCGGCUAACUUCGUGCCAGCAGCCGCGGUAAUACGAAGGGGGCAAGCGUUGUUCGGAAUUAUUGGGCGUAAAGGGUGUGUAGGCGGUUUUGU
rnacentral:rRNA from 1 species